rnacentral:rRNA from 1 species
AGAGUUUGAUCCUGGCUCAGAAUCAACGCUGGCGGCGUGCCUAACACAUGCAAGUCGAACGCGAAAGUCCCGCAAGGGAUGAGUAGAGUGGCAAACGGGUGAGUAACACGUGGGUGACCUGCCUUCGAGCGGGGGAUAACGUCCCGAAAGGGACGCUAAUACCGCGUAAUAUGCCGCCUUUUAACAGGUGGACAUCAAAGCUGGGGAUCGCAAGACCUAGCGCUUGAAGAGGGGCCCGCGUCUGAUUAGCUAGUUGGUGGGGUAAUGGCUCACCAAGGCAACGAUCAGUAUCCGGCCUGAGAGGGCGGACGGACACACUGGGACUGAGACACGGCCCAGACUCCUACGGGAGGCAGCAGUGGGGAAUUGUUCGCAAUGGGCGCAAGCCUGACGACGCAACGCCGCGUGGAGGAUGAAGACCUUCGGGUCGUAAACUCCUUUCGAUCGAGACGAAUGGCCUCCGGGUGAACAAUCCGGAGGAGUGACGGUACCGAGAGAAGAAGCCCCGGCUAACUCCGUGCCAGCAGCCGCGGUAAUACGGGGGGGGCAAGCGUUGUUCGGAAUUACUGGGCGUAAAGGGCUCGUAGGUGGCCAACUAAGUCAGACGUGAAAUCCCUCAGCUUAACUGGGGAACUGCGUCUGAUACUGGAUGGCUUGAGUUUGGGAGAGGGACGCGGAAUUCCAGGUGUAGCGGUGAAAUGCGUAGAUAUCUGGAGGAACACCGGUGGCGAAGGCGGCGUCCUGGACCAACACUGACACUGAUGAGCGAAAGCCAGGGGAGCAAACGGGAUUAGAUACCCCGGUAGUCCUGGCCCUAAACGAUGAAUGCUUGGUGUGGCGGGUAUCGAUCCCUGCCGUGCCGAAGCUAACGCAUUAAGCAUUCCGCCUGGGGAGUACGGUCGCAAGGCUGAAACUUAAAGGAAUUGACGG